rnacentral:rRNA from 1 species
UUGAACUGAAGAGUUUGAUCCUGGCUCAGAUUGAACGCUGGCGGCAUGCUUUACACAUGCAAGUCGAACGGUAACAGGGAGCUUGCUCCGCUGACGAGUGGCGAACGGGUGAGUAAUAUAUCGGAACGUACCCAAGAGUGGGGGAUAACGUAGCGAAAGUUACGCUAAUACCGCAUACGAUCCAAGGAUGAAAGCAGGGGACCGCAAGGCCUUGUGCUCCUGGAGCGGCCGAUAUCUGAUUAGCUAGUUGGUAGGGUAAAGGCCUACCAAGGCAUCGAUC